ACCCCACUCCUCUCUCUCUCUCUCUCUCACUUCACAGUUCAUACCAAACAAGCACUCACUGUACUAGUCACAUACUCACAAUCUCAAUUCAAAUUCAUUCCCUAUACAUACAACCCCUGUAUCUACAAUCUCUCUGCUCAAUCUUCUAAAAUGAGUCAGUUAGGGCUCAAAUGUAAGGUCUAUUAUGAGAACAAUUGUAUUGGAGAAUUGAAUAUUGUUGCUGUGGAAGGCUCGAAUUUCGAGUUCCCGAACAAUGAGAUUCGAAUUCAUUGUCUCUCGCCGAAGAGUAAUCGCUGCUCGCCUCACUCUGUUGCGCAUAUGAUCGCUUCGUCUCCGGUUUUGUGCAAGCUCGAGGCGGAGGAUAAGUAUUCGGACUUGUUUUCGCUCUAUAUCGAUUGUAUUCGUGAUCGUCAGACAGGAGUGGUGUUAUUGGGAGAAGAAGAGCUGCAUUUAGUGGCAAUGGUAAAUAAGUACAAAAAUUGUCCAUGUUUUUGGUGCUAUACAGUUCCGUCCGGUUUGUACAGUGUUUGUCUUCGUAUGUUGGAUCUGAGAUGUCUCUGGAUUGUGUUUGAUCUCGAUGAAACGCUUAUUGUGGGCAAUACGAUGAGGUCGUUUAGAGAUAAAAUUGCUAGUUUACGGAUUAAAAUUGCUAAAGAAACUGAUCCAGUUCGAAAAUCGGGAAUGUUUGCUGAAAUGGCAUUGUAUGAAGAAGAUCAAAGGUUACUAAAGCAAUACAUCGAUCGAGAUUCGGUUGUUGACAGUGGAAAUGUUUACAACGUUCAAGCAGAGGUGGUUAAGAUUUGCGAAAGUCAGGAUCGUAUUGUUCGUCCUGUUAUAAGAUUGCUGGAUAGGGGCAUAGUCUUAACUCGCAUUAAUCCAGAGAUACGCGACACUAGCGUGCUUGCCAGGUUGCGGCCUGCUUGGGAGGACUUAAGAAGACACCUGAAUUCAAAAGAGCGGAAAAGAUUUGAAGUUUAUGUGUGUACAAUGGCUGAAAGAAAUUAUGCAUUAGAGAUGUGGCGAUUGCUUGACCCAGAAGCACAACUAAUUGAUCCUAAGCAACUAUCAGCCCGUAUUGUAUCUGUUAACUCGGGUCAUAAGAAGUCUUUGAACAGGGUCUUCCAAGAUCAAAAGUUCCAUCGAGGGAUGGCAAUGGUCAUCGAUGAUCGUUUGAAAGUUUGGGAAGACAUAGAUCAACCUCGAGUUCAAGUUGUUCCAGCAUUUCUUCCGUAUCGUGCUCCUCUGGCAGAGACUGCAAAUGGCAUUCCAGUUCUCUGUGUGGCAAGGAACGUCGCAUGCAAUGUUAGAGGUUGUUUCUUCAAAGAAUUUGACGACAAUCUAUCAAGAAGAGUCUGUAGACUAUUCUACGAAGAUGAAGUCAAAAACCUGCCAUUACCGCCUGAUGUCAGUACCUACAUGAUUCCAGAGGGAGGUUGGUUGGCAAAAGUACGAGGAUGUGGUUCAUCUGAACCUGAUAGACAGCACAUUCAUCAGAAUUCACUCAGUCAUAUUACAGAUGGUGCUUUAUAUGUAGGAUUGUCUUCACAGUUGGUGGAAUCAAAGAGUACAGAGGCACGUGAAAGGUAUGAAACAGAGCUGCGGAAUCUUUUAGAAGGAUCCCAUUCAUCAGGUGGUAAUGAAAAUCAGUCAUACUUAGGGAGCAGUAUGUAUUAUGGCGGAAAAGGAAAAUUGCUUCCGCCUUCUAUGUAUGUUGAAAGGCUGCAAGAAAUCGGAAAGAGAUGUUGCUUAGAGGUCUUUUUUGGUGGUCAGAAAGUUGGCACUGGGAGAGGUAACACUAAAAAGGAUGCUCAGCAAAAGGCUGCUGAGGAUGCACUUCAAAAAUUAGCUGGUAUGGCUAUUAUGCAAUUUGCAGUUUCAACACUUAAACGUUUUUCCCUGGUUUCGUUUUUCUUUUUCCCAAGCUUUUGAGUGACUACUCACUACUCACUAGGUGUCCUAUAUACAUUUUAUGUGACAAUGUAAUACUUGCAUACUCGCACAGUCCCAACUAUUAUUUUGAUAUUACACAUCAUACUUCAAAUUAGUAUCAAGUAACUUGACAAUCAAAAUUUUAAUAAUGGUCAGUGGUGACUUAACUUCUUAUGUGUUUUUAUAUUUUAUGUUUUAUAUGAUUAAUAUGCAUGUGAUACAAAUAUACAGUUCUUAUAUAAUUUACAAUUGUUGAUGUUGAUGACUUUUUAUCACCCAUAAAACGAAAAUAUAUCUGGAAUCUUUAUAUAUGAUAUAUCUCCUGAACUCUACUCACCAAAGUAUAGAUUUGUAAAAUCCUUAUAUCCCUGUGUUAUGCAUCCGCUUCCUUGCUCUUAGGCUAAGUGAUGAGUUCUGGCUGUACUUCUACCCAAAAAUCCAUAGAUGACACAAAAAUCAUUCCAUAUACCUCACUGCACUACGAGAACAUGACCCAUUAUACAAAUUUACUUUUGCUUGUACCGACGUGGAACUUCUCCAAAAGAAAUUAAUUUUGUUCGAAAAGUUGUUAAAAUAUUAUUAAAUAUAUUAAUAUUUUGUCCUAUAAUAUUAUAUAAUUCUAGCGUAAUAUUUGAAUCUAAUUUAUUAUUGAAAAUAAUAUAUCUUUAGUAAUAAUACAUUAUUGUUAUUUUAUUUACUUGUUUCGUGUACAUGAAGUGAAACCCAAAUAUGGCACUUAAUCUCUCCAUACUUUCAUGCUUCAUUUUAGAUUUUGAAAACAUAAACACCAAACUUAAUGUUGUGCUCAACAUUGUCAGGUCUGAAUAAUGCAUGAUCAUCAAUAGGUAUCAAAUGGAAGUUUCAUUUACUAGUCAUGUGAACCGAGGGGGUGAAUAUCACAAGCUUUGAAUUUCUGACAAUCUUAAUAGCUGUCAUGCCCCUCAAGUUCUACUAGAAAUAAUGAUGAUUGAUUGUGAUAAUGUGUCCUUCCUAGGACUAUUGCUCUUGUAUUUGGUGGUACUAUGCGGACUAGAUUACUGAGGCCAACUAAAUUAGACAUUAUGGCAUUGUACCUGUCAUAGACUUGACGUUGUAAAAGCAUCCUAUGGCCACACUCUAACAUCUUGCACUCUUUCUAUGUGCAUACAGUAGUUCAUAUUUUUGUGGCAGACUUAUAUUGAGCCAUAUUUGUCUCUGUGGUAGACGUUUACAACUUUUCAUUACUUGUAUGUCAAUUAAGAAAACGGGGAUCCUGUUUUACGAAGGUGAACCAUUUCUUUUUCAAAGAUUAUGGUUUACAUAAUUUUUUUAACUACUAGUACUGUUACUAUACUGUUUCUUGUAAAUUUUUUCUACUAUCUAGCUAAAAGAUAGUAACUAAUAAUUUUGGCAUUUUACUGUUGCAAAUAACUAUGUUUUAUAUGUUUCGUCUCAUCCUGAAGUUAUCAAACAAGAGUUUGAUUAGCAUUCUUCUGAAUACCAGAGAAAUUUAUGGGAUACAGUCAGUCCUAACUAAAUCCAUCCAGGUCAAAUGUAUGUAUUCAAUGGAUACAAAUUUUGAGGUGUACAAUUGUGCUGUUGGACACAUUUAAUAUUGUUUUAUCUGUAAAUUAUGUGUUGUUUUGAUGAAAUGAAGGAUGCAUAAAGGGAAAUCCACUUCCUAUGUUAUGUGUUAUGUCGCACCAUAUCUGCAAAAACAAGUAGACGAAGCUGGUUUCAUGUUGUUACAAUUGUCCUCUGGCGUGGAUUAAUUUUUAGAGAGUAAAGAGCAAUUAAUAUGUUCUAGUGCAUGUUGUAUGUAUUCCUUUGUACCGUUACUUUUUGGAUAAAAUCAUAUAUGAAUAUUGUAAAACGAUGAAGCAAAUACAUAUAUAAAUGCUGCAUGUUUAUUUCAUAUAUAUAUAUGGCUAAUGAUCAAAUACAAACCAAUUUUUAAAUACAAACUAAAACCAGUUCCACAAUCACCGUUUAAAAUUACUUAAAUUGAAACUAAGAACGAGGAGGACCUCUAUCUUCCAUAUGUUUAUUAGGGUUGAGGGAGUGUCAUCUGAAGUCAUAAUUGAUGGGGGAGUUUUCGGAACGUGGUGGCUGAGAUCGCCGUUGCACGGUUGAAGCUAAAGACCGAGCCACAUCCACAUCCAUAUGGUGCUGCUUGGGUCAGCAACACGUCGACAUCGAUUGCUGUUAGUCAUAGAUGUCUUAUACCGUUUCCAUCCUGAAGGGCAAUGUUGAGAGUGUCUGGCGUGAUGUCCUUUCUAUGGAUGUCGCUCAUAUUUUCCCAGGCGACCUUGGAUAUAUGACCAUAAUGUGAUUCACGGCUGAACACUUAUGUGUUCAUGCACUGGAUAUAUGACCAUAAUGUGAUUCACGGCUGAACACUUAUGUGUUCAUGCACAAUGGCCAAAAGGUCAUUUUGUGUCCAACUAGGCCCGGGGAGACUCUGUAAGUGAAGUAAAGGCCAAUAACAUACUUACACAACUAACCAAACCUUCCAUGUUUUGAGGAGUGAGUUCGAGGGAUGUGUCUUAGACUCUAAGGCCGUGUAAUGCUAGUUGCUAGAAAGGUGAAGGAUGCGGUUGUAGAGUAGAGAGGGAUAAUGAGCUUUCUAGGAAUGUUCAACAGAUUCUUGAUAAAUUUGCAGAUGUUAUGCUUGAUGAGCCACCAAAGGGUUGCUACCUUCCGAAGAUAUCCUUCACGCUAUUGACUUAGUCCCCGGAUCAUCCAACUUGCCAUAUAAUAGAAUGAAACACACUGAGCUGAUAGAGAUGAGGUGAAAGCUUGAGGAGUAGCUGAGUAAGGGACUUGUGUGAGAGAGUCUUAGCUCGUGUGCUGUACCAACCAUGUUCACACCUAGAAAGCAGGGGUGCGGCCCUCAGGUGGUGGUGCACUGCGCCCCCGGUGCGGAGGGGUGCGGCGGUGCGGCAGCAUACGCACGGAGUGCGCCACCUGGCGUGUCGCCGUAUUUCUUUAACGAGAUUCGUGGGGGUGCGGAAUAGGGGGUGAGGGAGGGGCAUUUUUGGUAAUUUUUUUGGUCUCCAGAACCAACUCACCACCAUCAGCCAGCUUUCUUCUUCUGCCAUCUCCAUUCUUUCUUUGCAGAUCAUAAUCUAUGUUGUGGUGGAUACAUGGUCCGAUUUGAAUAUCCAUGUGUAUAUGUAUGUUUACGUUUGUGUGUUUAUAUGUUGUGUAAGUAUAGAUGUGAAUGUGAAUUAUUGAUUGUUGACUUUAUGUACGUGUGUGGGAAGAAGCAAAAGUAAUAGGAGUACUGUACAUGCAGGGGAGUAGUCAGUCACAUGGACAACACGCUUUCCCAGUUAGAAUGGAGUAUUAUUAUUAACAAACUGAAUGGUUGCCUUGAAAAGAGGUGACCUUUUACAAUAAUGUUAGUAGAAUUUAAAUAAUAUGUGUUUAAAUUAAAAAUACAGUAGUUUAAAUGGAAGUUUUUAUUAACAAAAUAUUAAAUAUAAUAUAUAUAUAUAUAUAUUAAAAUAUUAUUUUAUUUACCGUAUCCCACCGCACCCGUAUCCCUAUAUAUUCAACUUUCACGAAUUUACGUAUCCCCGCACCCAUGCUUCCUAGGUUCACACCAAAGGUUGAUGGUAUUUUGAGGAUGGUACAUGUUUCCUAGACCUAGGUUUGAUGAUUUGUGAAAUAUAAUUGUUGGAGCCCAGUACUUCAUAAAGGUAGAUUUAUGGAGAGGAUACCAUCAGAUUUUUAUCUGGAGAUGAAUGGAGGACUGCCUUUGAAGAUAGUAGAUGGACUAUACGAGUUAUUAGUCCUACCAUUUGGGCAAUUCAAUGCCUCGAGUAUGUUCAUGAGAGUCAUGAAUGAGGUGCUCUGUCCAUUUGUUGAUAGAUAUGUUGUUGUAUGUUUUGACGACGAACUCAUCUAUAACUCUACCCUUGAGGAGCAUUUAUUUCAUUUAUGUCUAUUCUAGUAGCUCUCUAACAUGAGAAUUGUAUGUGAAGCUGAAGAAGUGUUCUUUCCAUGUGACUGUAUGAUUUUUGUUGGAUUUGUUGCUUCUAAGGCUGGGGUCUUUGCUCAUCCCAAGUAGGUAAAGGCCAUUCGAGAGUGGCCCGAACCUUUCAACAUUCAUGGAGUGCUUAAGUUUUCAUGGAUUAACUAUCUUUUAUAGGAGGUUUAUUAAAGACAUUAGCUCCAUUAUGGCUCCCAUUUGCUACGCAUGAGGAAGGGGGAGUUUGUGUGGUCUAAGUCAAUCGUGAGAGUCUUUUACAGAGGUGAAAGAUAGGCCGACACAUGCUCCAGUCCUCUACUAAAUUUGGUUAAGGUCUUUGAGGUGGAAUGUGACGCCUCUGACAUAGGUAUAGGUAUAGGUGGUAUAUUGAGUGAGGAGGGCCAUCUUAUAGCUUUAUUUAGUGAAAAGCUUAAUAAGGCCAAGAGAAGAUAUACCAAAUAUGAGAAGGAGUUUUAUGAUGUACUUCAAGCAUUUAGGUACUGGUGACAUUAUUUGUGCCUAAAGAGUUUGUGCUUUACUCUGAUUACCAGGAGUUAUCAUAUAUUAACGCCCAAAAGAACCUUAACCAUCGAUAUGCCAAGUGGUUUGAGUUUGUUCAAGAGUAUACCUUUGUGCUUAGACAUUGGGGCAAAGGUAGCGAGAUCGAAGUCGUUGAUGCACGUAGUAGGGUGUAUGUUAUCCUUAACACUUCUGUGUAGAGGUAGUGGAAUUUGCACAUAUGAUCAAGGAUUAUCCUUUCUGUCGAGAUUUUGGGAAGAUCUAUGCUAGCCUUUGGUAUUCUAGUUCCCCAUCUCCGAGAGAGUUUUGUAUUCAUGAUGGAUACUUGUUUCGGGGGAUUCCCUGGUACAUUCUCUAUGGUACACUCGUGAAAUUUGGCUUUUCCCGAUGGUACCAUCAGAUUUUUUACUUCUAUUUCUGGUAACCUUGUAUUUAUGAUUUUCCAAAUAUAAUACCCUCAUGUUAUGUAAAACGUAACAAAAUUGAUUUUAGAUUGUAAAAUAAAUUGUAUAUUUGAAAUCCUUAUUAAAAAAACAUUAAAUAGACCUUUGAAUCAUAUAAAUUGUAGUUAAAUUGUGUGAGAAAUCUACAAACUUCUUAACUGGACUUUGAUCAUUUAAUAUCUCACUUAGUUUGAUUCCGAUUUAUAUGAUUUAAAAGUCUAUUUCAUGUAUUUUUGUACAAAGAUUUCAAAUAUUCAAUUUAUUUUACAAUCUAAAAUCAAUUCUAUUAAAUGUCACAUAACAUGAGGGUAAUAUAUGUGUGCAAAACCAUAAGUACAAGGUUACCAGAGUCCAGAGUUAGAAGUCAAAAAUAUGAUAAUACCAUUGAGAAAAGCCAAUUCUACGAGUGUACCAUAGAGAAUAUCCCUUGUUUAUAUACACAUAAACAUUGAAUAACACACACACGUAUAUUUUUACUAUGUAUAAAUACACGAUUUUUGUACACACAAUUCAUUUUUUGGUAUUUUUGUUUAUAUUAAUUGUAAUACUUAUAUAUAUUGAUUACAUUCCUUGUAUAUGUCUUUCAGAUUAUAUAUGUAUUAUCACGAUUAUAUUAAUUACUUAUAUUCAUCAAUAUAUUCCUUAUAUUAGCACUGAUUUGUUUACUCAUUACUCAGGCCACUAGUGGGCAACAAUGGAGUCGAAAAAUGAAAAGGCAGAGACGCUACAUCUUGUAUGUUGUGACAAAUCAAGUUCAAAAGACCAUAUCACCACAGCCAUAAGUUUUUCAUAACAAUCUUAUUCGAUGUCUUUCACCGUGAAAGUCCCAAAUCCUUUUUUAGAUUUAAGACGUUGUCUACACACAGUUCUUGUGCCUUAUCACAAGUCAUGAUACUUGUCAAAACUGAUUCUGACACAACAUAUGUUAUUGACGCUUUGAGCCUUUGUUAUUUCCUCUUUGUGAGCCUUGAUUUAAUUUAAUGUUGGAUCUUGAUUUGAUUAAUGUUUGGAAAGGUUGCAUCUCCCUCGGAGUUUCAACCCACUUGUAUGUUGGAGACGGCACCUCUUGUAUGUUGCGACAAAUCAAGUUCAAAAGACCGUAUCACCACAACCAUCAAUUUUUCAUAACAAUCUCAUUCGAUGUCUUCACCGUGAAAGUCCCAAAUCCUUUAGAUUUAAGACGUCUACACACAAUUCUUGUGCCUUAUCACAAGUCAUGAUUCUUGUCAAAAUUGAUUCCAACACAACAACAUGAAUUUUGACUAUUCGAGCCUUUGGUAAUUCCUCUUUGUGAGCCUUGAUUUAAUCUAAUGUUGGAUCUUGAUUUGAUUUAAGGUUUGGAAAGGUUGCAUAUCCCUCGGAGUUUCAACCCACUUCUCCCUUUUAAGUUUCGACCCACUUUUGUAAACCUAAACCUCGCAUAUGAGAUUUCAUUUUAA